rnacentral:rRNA from 1 species
UACGUAGGGUGCAAGCGUUAAUCGGAAUUACUGGGCGUAAAGCGUGCGCAGGCGGUUGUGCAAGUCAGAUGUGAAAUCCCCGGGCUCAACCUGGGAAUUGCAUUUGUGACUGCACGGCUAGAGUGUGUCAGAGGGGGGUAGAAUUCCACGUGUAGCAGUGAAAUGCGUAGAGAUGUGGAGGAAUACCGAUGGCGAAGGCAGCCCCCUGGGAUAAAACUGACGCUCAUGCACGAAAGCGUGGGGAGCAAACAGG